AUUCCAGCUCCAAUAGCGUAUAUUAAUGUUGUUGCAGUUAAAAAGCUCGUAGUUGGAUUUCUGGUCGGAACGCCGGUCCGGCUCCGCAAGGGGUCGUGUAUUGGUUUUUGCUGGUAUUCAUUUAUCGGCGUGGUUACGCCUGUCGUUUACUGUGAACAAAUUAGAGUGUUCAAAGCAAGGUGUACUUGAAUACAUUAGCAUGGAAUAAUAAGAUAGGACUUUGGUGGUUCUUUUUAGAUAUUUUGUUGGUUUGCACGCCAAAGUAAUGAUUAAUAGGAGCAGUUGGGGGUAUUCGUAUUCAAUUGUCAGAGGUGAAAUUCUUGGAUUUAUAGAAGACGAACUACUGCGAAAGCAUUUACCAAGGAUGUUUUCAUUA
rnacentral:rRNA from 1 species